rnacentral:rRNA from 1 species
AUGGAGGAUUGGGGAUUCCUAACAUCAAGGAAUUUAAUAUGGCCUUGCUGGCUUCCUGGGGCAAAAGGUUCUUUGAUGAAUCUGAUGCAGACUAGAAAAAAUUUUAUUAGUUACAAGUAUAGAGUGAACUCUCCUAACCUAUUAUGGGCAAAAGGAGAUGGCGGCUCUACCUUUUGGAAGAGCAUCACUUGGGCAUUAGCAGCUGCUAAAAAUUUCUAUAGAUGGAAGCUGGGUAAUGGUGAGUUGAUUAGUUUUUGGCAUGAUACCUGGGUUGGGGAAUGUUCCCUGAAGGUUCAAUUUUGGGACUUGUAUUGCAUGUGCAAUCAAAUGGAAUGCAUUGUGGCUCAAGUAUGGGACAGGCAAGAACUUAAGUUAUCCUUUAGGAGAUGUGUAGAUCAAAAUGGGCUUAACAGAUGGGACUCUUUGUUGAAACUUGUUCAACAGUGUAUCUUAUCAAAUGAACCUGAUACACAGAUUUGGUCCUUGGAAUCUAAUGAAUUAUACUCGGUGAAAUCUUUCUAUAAAUGCAUCAACUUUGGGGGGAUAGCCUCUGCUAUCAAAGAUGAUCUGUGGAAGAUUAUGUGCCCGCAGAAGAUACAUGUAUUCCUAUGGUUGUGUGCUCACAAUAAACUUCUGACUAGGGAUAAUCUGUUAAAGAGGAGGGAGGUUGAGGAUCCUUCCUGUCUCUUUUGUGCAGAGCUCGAAUCUGUACAACAUUUGAUGUUUGACUGUGUAGUUGCUCAACAUGUGUGGGGUUUUGUAUCUGACUUCUUUGAGAUGGAUAGAAUUGCUAACUUUGACGAUAUCUUUGCUUUCUGGCGAGUUCAUAAAAAAAGCAUGUGCUUAACAUGGUUAUUGCUGCCUCCUUGUGGAGUUUGUGGAGACUAA